rnacentral:rRNA from 1 species
UACGUAGGUUGCGAGCGUUUAUUCGGAUUUACUGGGCGUAAAGCGCACCGAGGUGGCUUCUUAAGUUGGAUGUAAAAAUCUCCCGGCUUAACUGGGAGGCGCCAUUCAAUACUGAGGAGCUUGAGGUCAGCAGGGGAAAGUGGAAUUCCCGGUGUAGUGGUGGAAUGCGUAGAGAUCGGGAGGAACACCAGUGGCGAAAGCGACUUUCUGGGCUGCACCUGACACUCUAGUGCGAAAAGCGUGGGGAGCAAACAGG